GAUCCUCCCACCCUUUGUGUACCUACCUCUGUUGCUUUGGCGGGCCGCGGUCCUCCGCGGCCGCCCCCCUCCCCGGGGGGUGGCCAGCGCCCGCCAGAGGACCAUCAAACUCCAGUCAGUAAACGAUGCAGUCUGAAAAACAUUUAAUAAACUAAAACUUUCAACAACGGAUCUCUUGGUUCUGGCAUCGAUGAAGAACGCAGCGAAAUGCGAUAAGUAAUGUGAAUUGCAGAAUUCAGUGAAUCAUCGAAUCUUUGAACGCACAUUGCGCCCUUUGGUAUUCCGAAGGGCAUGCCUGUUCGAGCGUCAUUACAACCCUCAAGCUCUGCUUGGUAUUGGGCACCGUCCUUUGCGGGCGCGCCUCAAAGACCUCGGCGGUGGCGUCUUGCCUCAAGCGUAGUAGAACAUACAUCUCGCUUCGGAGCGCAGGGCGUCGCCCGCCGGACGAACCUUCUGAACUUUUCUCAAGGUUGACCUCGGAUCA
rnacentral:rRNA from 1 species